rnacentral:rRNA from 1 species
CGCGAAUUCGCCCUUCGGGGUGCCCAGGCGCGAAAACUUUGCAAUACACGAAAGUGCGACAGGGCUAUCCCGAGUGCCAUCCGCUGAGGAAGGCUUUUACCCAGUCUAGAACGCUGGGGGAAUAAGGAGAGGGCAAGUCUGGUGUCAGCCGCCGCGGUAAUACCAGCUCUCCGAGUGGUGUGGAUGUUUAUUGGGCCUAAAGCAUCCGUAGCUGGCUAAGUUAGUCCCUUGUUAAAUCCACCGAAUUAAUCGUUGGAUUGCGGGGGAUACUGCUUGGCUAGGGGACGAGAGAGGCAGACGGUAUUUCCGGGGUAGGGGUGAAAUCCUAUAAUCCCGGGAAGACCACCAGUGGCGAAGGCUGUCUGCUAGAACGCACCCGACGGUGAGGGAUGAAAGCUGGGGGAGCGAACCGGAUUAGAUACCCGGGUAGUCCCAGCUGUAAACGAUGCAGGCUAGGUGUUUGGACGGCCACGUGCCGUUCUAGUGCCGCAGGGAAGCUGUUAAGCCUGCCGCCUGGGGAGUACGAUCGCAAGAUUGAAACUUAAAGGAAUUGGCGGGGGAGCAC